rnacentral:rRNA from 1 species
UUCCGGUUGAUCCUGCCAGAGGUUACUGCUAUCGAGGUUCGACUAAGCCAUGCGAGUCGAAUGUAGCAAUACAUGGCGUACUGCUCAGUAACACGUGGACAACCUACCCUUGAGACAGGUAUAAACCCGGGAAACUGGGUAUAAUCCCUGAUAGAUCUCGGUCGCUGGAAUGCUCCGAGAUCGAAAGCUCCGGCGCUCAAGGAUAAGUCUGCGGACUAUCAGGUUGUAGUCAGGGUAACUACCUGACUAGCCUACGACGGAUACGGGUUGUGAGAGCACUAGCCCGGAGAUGAUAUCUGAGACACGAUAUCAGGCCCUACGGGGCGCA